rnacentral:rRNA from 1 species
UACGGAGGGUGCAAGCGUUAUCCGGAUUCACUGGGUUUAAAGGGUGUGUAGGCGGGUAUUUAAGUCAGUGGUGAAAUCUCCGGGCUCAACCCGGAAACUGCCAUUGAUACUAUUUAUCUUGAAUUCUGUUGAGGUAGGCGGAAUAUAUCAUGUAGCGGUGAAAUGCUUAGAUAUGAUAUAGAACACCGAUUGCGAAGGCAGCUUACUAAGCAGACAUUGACGCUGAGGCACGAAAGCGUGGGGAUCAAACAGGAUUAGAUACCCCCGUAGUCC